CAUUUGUAAAGCUAACAAACAAAUCACAAGGCAAAUUGAGGCCGGUCCGUUUCUGGGUGAAGCCAGCAACAGUUUCAUUGUGGGCUUAAGGGUGGGAUUGCUGAGGCGCGGGCCUGUGGGGUCACUGGCACAAAGCCUGGCGAAAUUUUAUGGGCCCUUGGUGGACUUGCACGCUUGCUACAAUGAACAUGCCCAACAAAGGGGCCCUUUAAAGAAGAGAAGUUUUAUAGCCUUCACAGCAAGCUGGGGCUUGUUCUCCGGCUUUGGGGAGGAGGCAGGGGGGAGGGUGAUUUACAGCAGCUGGGGGACCUCCCGCCUGUGAACUUCUCCGGGUUAAACCUGCAUCUGGUGGUCUCCAGGAGCCUGUGGGCCGGUCUACGGUGAGCAGCUGGGGUUGACAGCUUACAGCCACGGAGCUGAUUGAAAGCCUGGAAAACGGGACUGAUGGGCAAUCUUAAAAAGAACCUGGAUAAUUCAGCCUGGAGAAGUAAAGAUUAAUACUCACGUAACAGCAACAAUGUGCUAACAGGACUUGCCCAUCUGUGAGUGAAGAGAUUUCCUGAUGACAGGCUCAGGGUGUGGCCCACCCAGCUCUGCUCAACCGGCCGGGCCGCCCAGCGGGCGCCUCUGGCCGCCGCGUGCUGCUGACCGUCCUGCGCCGGCCCGGGACGGCGUGGGCACCCAGCCGGCUGGAGGGACAGCACCGUCCUUUAUGGUUCAGGCCCCUCUCUCUUCCCUCCAGCCCUCCACCCUCUCCUAAAUGAAGUCAGGAAUCUGGAAUCCUUCAAUUCCUUAUGCAAGAGGGGCCCUCCCCGGAUGCGUGGUCCUUGGCCAUCUGGAGGACAGAUUUUCAGGGGCUACCACCAGAGUUGGCAGGAGUUGGUUUGGAGGACUUGUCUUUGCUUUCCUUUCCUUCCUGUCCUAGCCCAUAUGACAGCUCUGUUGCUCUGGGAAGACAUGGAAAACCCUGGGCCAAAACAUAACCCGCUGGCUCUGGAAAGAAGAGGGCUGAACCCUGCAGCUGUCUCUUGCUAAGGGGGCGCUCUAGGGGAGCCAGUCUGGGCUGGGGGUAAGGAGAGGCCAUGGGCCCCAGAGGAGCCCUCAGAAGAGUGUGGUCUGGGUCAACUCAGCUUCGUUCCUCAUUCCUGGAGAGGCAUCCUCAUUCUGCCCAGCCCAGGAAGUGACGGAGGGUGCAAGAAGGAGCCCGAGAGGGUGUCCCCUGGCCGAAGUCCUGUGUGGUGAGGCGGAAAGGGCCAUAAAGUGGGAGGGAGUGGAUAGGGGCCAUGGUGGCUCUGCGUGUGCUAGGGCUGUCCCAUAUGCCACCUCAAGGAACUCUCCCAUUAACCCUAUGAAUGAGAUCUGUUGUCCCCAUUUCACAGAUGAGAAAACUGAGUCAUUUGAUCAAAACCAACAAAGCCAUGAGGUGAAGAAUCCAAGUCUCGAACCUGUGCCUUUCUGACUUCUGAGCCCACACCCAUGCUUUUCAUAUAAAACCUCGCACUGUCCCUCUAGGGGUCUGAGGAGCCGGACACCAAGUCCUGCCACUGUGGGCUGCAACUUGCUUCGCAUCUCAGAAGCUCCGUGUCCUUGACUGGAAAGGAAGACAAGUAGGACUCCCCAAGAUCUUCCACUCCCAACCCUGGAUGUGCGGAGGGUUCUUCAGGCCAGUAGAUAAAUGGCCCAUCGUGGGCCAGAAGGUGCAGGCCCCAAGUGCAGGCUUGGAAUUAUUCCCAGGGACUUGAGGUAGUUGGUUUCUGAUGAGUCAGCCUGUUCCUUUCAGGAGUCCAGCCCCUCCCUGCCCCACCCCCAAUUCCCAGAAGCAUCUAUAUCAGCUGUCUGUGAGGCUCAUUCCGCUGGGCCAGUUCCGGGCGCCAUGGCUGUUCCAGUUAUCUAUUUCUGCGGAAUAAACCACCCCAAUCCUGGAUGGCUUAAAACCA